rnacentral:rRNA from 1 species
GAUGAACGCUGGCGGCGUGCUUAACACAUGCAAGUCGAACGAGAAUCAACGGAUUGAGGAUUCGUUCAAAUGAAGUUGAGGAAAGUGGCGGACGGGUGAGUAACGCGUGAGGAACCUGCCUCAGAGUGGGGAAUAACAGUUAGAAAUGACUGCUAAUACCGCAUAAUGUAGCGAGAUCGCAUGAUUUUGCUACCAAAGAUUUAUCGCUCUGAGAUGGCCUCGCGUCUGAUUAGCUAGUUGGCGGGGUAACGGCCACCAAGGCGACGAUCAGUAGCCGGACUGAGAGGUUGGCCGGCCACAUUGGGACUGAGACUCGGCCCAGACUCCUACGGGAGGCAGCAGUGGGGAAUAUUGGGCAAUGGGCGCAAGCCUGACCCAGCAACGCCGCGUGAAGGAAGAAGGCUUUCGGGUUGUAAACUUCUUUUGUCAGGGACGAAGUAAGUGACGGUACCUGACGAAUAAGCCACGGCUAACUACGUGCCAGCCGCCGCAGUAA